UACGGAGGGUGCAAGCGUUGUUCGGAUUUACUGGGCGUAAAGCGCGCGCAGGUGGAUGAACAAGUCGGAAGUGAAAUCUCGAGGCUCAACCUCGAGGCUGCUCCCGAAACUGUUCGUCUAGGGACUGGUAGAGGCUGGUAGAAUUCCGGGUGUAGCGGUGGAAUGCGUAGAGAUCCGGAAGAACACCGGUGGCGAAGGCGGCCUGCUGGGCAGUUUUGCUGGACACUGAGGCGCGACAGCGUGGGGAGCAAACAGG
rnacentral:rRNA from 1 species